UCUGAACCGUGGAUGUGAGAGUGUGUGUUUGUGUGCUGCGUGAACUAUUUUUCCUGCGUGAAACACUUUCCAUACUGCGCCAUCCGCGGUGUUCUUUCUGCUACAUCGGAGGACGAAUUUUUAACAUCUAAUUGUUUGGUUUCAGAUGUGUGCUGCUACCGCUAGCUGUUCCUCAAACUACUUAAAAAGUGUGACACUGUGUGCACAGGCGUUCAAGGUUCAAUUGAUCCUCAAGCACAAAGGUAAGUUUGUCACAUCUUUAAAUGAAGUUUAAUCUUUUUAACAAAGUGUGUCUAUUAAUUGGGUACUUUCAUCAACAGCCUUCAUACAACACCGCGGUUGAGGCGCGCCAAAUCUGAUGACAUCUUUGCUGAACCAAGCAGGUUGAACACGCGCACCACCACGGGCUCCAGCGCGGUGUGAAGAGGGAAGAAGAAAAGACAGAAUUGGAAACAGCCGCACCAGGCUUCCAACCACCGUGUGUGUGUGUAUGUAAGUAUGUGAGAACACAUGUGUGAAUCCUCUUGUGGGAACUGCAAAAAGAAGAGAAUAAAGAGCGUGAAGCAGCUAGACUGCCGCAACCAAA